rnacentral:rRNA from 1 species
CCUACGGGGGGCUGCAGUGGGGAAUAUUGCACAAUGGGCGCAAGCCUGAUGCAGCCAUGCCGCGUGUGUGAAGAAGGCCUUCGGGUUGUAAAGCACUUUCAGCGGGGAGGAAGGCGGUGAGGUUAAUAACCUCAUCGAUUGACGUUACCCGCAGAAGAAGCACCGGCUAACUCCGUGCCAGCAGCCGCGGUAAUACGGAGGGUGCAAGCGUUAAUCGGAAUUACUGGGCGUAAAGCGCACGCAGGCGGUCUGUCAAGUCGGAUGUGAAAUCCCCGGGCUCAACCUGGGAACUGCAUUCGAAACUGGCAGGCUAGAGUCUUGUAGAGGGGGGUAGAAUUCCAGGUGUAGCGGUGAAAUGCGUAGAGAUCUGGAGGAAUACCGGUGGCGAAGGCGGCCCCCUGGACAAAGACUGACGCUCAGGUGCGAAAGCGUGGGGAGCAAACAGGAAUAGAUACCCUAGUAGUC